rnacentral:tRNA from 1 species
GGUGAGUGUGCUUUCAGGAUGUGGAAGAGCACUGGGCUGGCCAUCCAGAGUCCCAGGUUCAAGUCCUGGCUCGACCU